rnacentral:lncRNA from 1 species
AUCACAGCUCUGUGCAGUGGGCGUCCUCCUGAUCCCGGUGGGAGGAUGGAGGAUGGAGGCGGAACGAUUCUGUGGCCAAAAACUUACCCGUCGACAUUGAGGGUGAUGCAUUUCUGCUCCAAGACGUGUGUGGACUCAGCUGGAGGGAUAGAAAGGACGUGGAGCCUCUUCCCUCCUGGCCUGGGCUUGGACCUGCUGUGUAGCCUCUCAGUGACACCAGGGACCCCUUGUGUCACAGUGGCCUCGGGUUGCUGGCACUGCCCCAGGAUGUCCCAGGCUUCAUGAUGUCCAGGCUCCCCUGGCAUGGCGGCUUCAGAUUUCUUUGCAUCUUCUCCCUUAUCCAGAAGUGAGGGUGAACGCUGAGUUAUUCACGGGAGUCAAGAAACCACACGCAGCCCAAAGAGACAUUUGUUUCCCUGAAAGGAUUUGUGUGUGUUCACCUUAAAAUGCAACUCAGUAAAACAGGUGUGUUUUGAGGAAUGACUUUAAAUUACCCAGGUAGAAAUGUGACAGGUAAAUUUCAUUGUCUGUGCGGGUGUCCACAACCCCCUUCUGUGAUUAAGUGUGAGUUGGUGACUUGUGGUUAUUUUUGAAGAAAGAAAAUCUGUUGCUGAGGACUUCAGAGGGUGUGCUGGGAUUGUGUAGGGUGGACAUCGGGGGCUUCAGUGUGUGGCGUCCUUGAAGAGGUUCAAAUUAAGGCUGAGACUCCCUACUCCAAAAUGCUCCAAAACCUGAAACAUUCCGAGGUUCCCCAUGACACUUGAAGGAAAUGCUUUUCGGAGCACUUUGGAUUUCAGGCAGGGGAUGCUCAACUGGAAACUGAAAUAUUGCAAGACCCUUCUGGCCCCAGGAGCUUGGAUAAGGACAUGGAGGGGUCCUGUGCCGGGUGUCCCUGGAGUGUGAGGCAGCCUGGGCUCACCGGACUGGUUUUUGUAGGAGCCACAGAAGGGAAAGAGGGUCAAAGUGGCCACCUGUGACUCCUGAGAAGUCUGGACCAGAAGGACGUGGGCACGGAGGGCAGCAGUUGAGUCCCCAGUGUCCGGGGCUCCUGUCCCUGGUGGAGUUGAGACCCUCCUCUAGUUGUGGCCUCUCCCCUGUCAGCAGCCACUGAGGCCUGAAGGGAGAGAGGGCUGAGGAGAGGAGGGAAGGAUAGGCCUGCUUCUGGCGAGGGCCUGCGUCGGCCUGUGCUAGUCUCGUGUGUUACUCCUGCGUCCAGGGUGCAUGGCCAUGCCUUGUGGUGUAGUGCUUCCCGGGAUGCACAGCACUUUUGUCUGCAGUAAGGGCUUUGUCUCCGACCCUUGGAGGCAAGUUACCUUUUUCCCCAGUGAAAAGAGGUAAAAAAUCUUACAGAAAUGCAUUUGUUCUAAUGUCUAUUUUCCGAUAAGAAAUGGUCGCUUAGGCUAAAUCUUCGGGAGGUCAAGGCAGGAGGAUCACUUGAGGCCAAGGGGUUGAAGACUAGCCUGGACAAUAUAGCAAGACCCCAUCUGUAUAAUAGAAAAAUUAGCUGAGUGUGGUGGUGCGUGCCUGUGGUCCCUGCUACUCUGGAGGCUGAGAUGGGAAGAUCACUUAAGGCUACAGUGAGCUGCGAUUGCUCCACUGUAUUCCAAUCUUGGCGACAGAGCCAAGACCCAGGCUCAGAAAGAAAAGUAAAAAAAAAAAAAA